CAAGUAUUUCUUAAGAAAAGCUACUGAGAGAAAGGGAGUUGAGGAGAGGGUGAUUACUAGAGGAAAAGGGCUAGGGGAGCCAUCUAGUUCCGGUAAAGAAAAGGAAAAAGAACCAAGAGAGGAUCAUUUUUAUUUGAUGUAGAUAGUAUGCUACUGAUGUAGCUAUUGUAUAUUUGACUUCUUUUAGAAUAUGUAUGAUGUAUUAAACAUUAACAGAUCAUCUAUGUAUAUUUGAGCAGAUUCAUGUGAAUUAUGAUUGUAUGAAUUUGAAAAUUUAUAGUCUAUUAA